rnacentral:rRNA from 1 species
UACGGAGGGUGCAAGCGUUAUCCGGAUUCACUGGGUUUAAAGGGUGCGUAGGUGGGCAGGUAAAUCAGUGGUGAAAUCUCCGGGCUUAACUCGGAAACUGCCAUUGAUACUAUCUGUCUUGAAUACCGUGGAGGUCAGCGGAAUAUGUCAUGUAGCGGUGAAAUGCUUAGAUAUGACAUAGAACACCAAUUGCGAAGGCAGCUGGCUACACGAAUAUUGACACUGAUGCACGAAAGCGUGGGGAUCAAACAGG